rnacentral:rRNA from 1 species
GAUGAACGCUGGCGGCGUGCCUAAUACAUGCAAGUCGAGCGAACAGAUGAGGAGCUUGCUCCUCUGACGUUAGCGGCGGACGGGUGAGUAACACGUGGAUAACCUACCUAUAAGACUGGGAUAACUUCGGGAAACCGGAGCUAAUACCGGAUAAUAUAUUGAACCGCAUGGUUCAAUAGUGAAAGACGGUUUUGCUGUCACUUAUAGAUGGAUCCGCGCCGCAUUAGCUAGUUGGUAAGGUAACGGCUUACCAAGGCAACGAUGCGUAGCCGACCUGAGAGGGUGAUCGGCCACACUGGAACUGAGACACGGUCCAGACUCCUACGGGAGGCAGCAGUAGGGAAUCUUCCGCAAUGGGCGAAAGCUUGACGGAGCAACGCCGCGUGAGUGAUGAAGGUCUUCGGAUUGUAAAACUCUGUUAUUAGGGAAGAACAAAUGUGUAAGUAACUAUGCACGUCUUGACGGUACCUAAUCAGAAAGCCACGGCUAACUACGUG